rnacentral:rRNA from 1 species
AACGAACGCUGGCGGCAGGCCUAACACAUGCAAGUCGAACGCCCUAGCAAUAGGGAGUGGCGCACGGGUGCGUAACGCGUGGGAAUAUGCCCUUCACUACGGGACAACAUCGGGAAACUGAUGCUAAUACCGUAUAAUGACUCCGGUCCAAAGAUUUAUCGGUGAGGGAUUAGCCCGCGUUAGAUUAGCUAGUUGGUGAGGUAACGGCUCACCAAGGCAACGAUCUAUAGCUGGUCUGAGAGGAUGAUCAGCCACACUGGAACUGAGACACGGUCCAGACUCCUACGGGAGGCAGCAGUGAGGAAUAUUGGACAAUGGGGGAAACCCUGAUCCAGCCAUGCCGCGUGAGUGAAGAAGGCCUUCGGGUUGUAAAGCUCUUUUAGAUGUGAAGAUAAUGACGGUAGCAUCAGAAAAAGCCCCGGCUAAAUUCGUGCCAGCCGCCGCCGUAA